GUACACAGUUGCAUUAACAUAAAGACUUUCAAUAAACCUCAUCUACCCUGAAAGAACUUCAAAUGCAUUGAGUUUAUCAGUACAACAGUACAUGGAAGUGUUGAACUGGCUGAGUGGCAGAUUCAGAAAAAUUCAACUGUCUUUAUUAUUCGGGUAACUGCUGGCUGCAUUUGAAACUAGGAUUCUGUAAACAAAAUUUUAAAAUAUGAGUACUGAAAGAAUUUUUGCAAAAGUGCUGAUUGGGCUUCUCUUGGUCUCCGUUUUGAGGGGGUCAAGAUCCCAAAAUAAGGUGGAACAGAGUCCUCGGCUACUGACUGUGAAGGCAGGAGAAGAUUCCACCUUCAAGUGCAGUUACAAGAUAACCCCUUUUAACAACUUGCAGUGGUUCAAACAGUCUCCAGGAAAAGGCCUUGUCUUCCUGACAUUUACUCGUUUUUCUGAUGAAACAAAAUCAAAUGGAAGAUUCAAAGCCACAAUCAAUGCUACCUCUGAAGAGGGCUACCUGCGUGUUACAAGCUCCCAAUCUAAAGACUCAGCCACCUACUUCUGUGUGGCAAGCGCACAGUGUUUCUGAGCCACCUGCAACCUGCACCAAAAUUUUGAAUCUAUAGCUCCAAUACUACUCUUUGCCUUAUGUGAUAGGCAAUAAUAGCUAAAUAAAGCAUAAUAAUAAUUUGUUAUAAAACAUGAAAGUUAUUAUAGAAGCAAAGCUCAAUUUAGUACUAUUAAAAUACGUUGUAUUUAUAAUUAUGUUCCUCUAUAUAGACAUAUUAUAUACCCAUUAUACCAUAUUGCCUCCUAUAUCUGUGAAUAACUAGUUUUUUAGCUAUUGUCCAUCACACAUGGAAGAAAAUGGGAUGGGCAGAGAACUCUAGCUUCUGUGAGAAUGGUAUGAAGACGAAUAGUGAAGUGGAAAAGAUACUGAGUUUGAUUAAAAUCCCAUUUAUGCCAUUUGUUUCUUAUAUGGCCUUAGACAAUUAACCUCUUUUCAUAUAGUCAUUACAAACACAAAGAGUUAGAAGGAAGACCUGAGGAUUGGUGAAAUGGAGGUGGGGGGUAGUAUAGUAGCAAGAGGAAGGUAUGAUGAUAAAAAGAGGGCAGUUUUAUUGUGGGUAAAGUCUCAGCAUGGGUAGGACAAUAUGGUAUUUCAUAAAGCAAUUAGGAGACAGUGAAUUAUGUGGUUUCUUCCAUUCUUUUGAAACUGGCUUUAACUAUCCAGUUCCCAGCCUUCAGCUUCUCCAAGGCUCUAGCUCAGUUCUAUCAAAAUGUUCUUUUCUUAGGACUCACAUGAACAAAAAUGUUUUUGGCAGCCCCUUUUGUAGUGACAAGACACUGGAAACUGACUGCAUGUCCUUCAGUUGGGGAAUGGCUGAAUAAGUUACAAUAUAUGAACACAACGGAAUAUUGUUGUUCUGUAAGAAA